UUUUUUUUGUAUUUUUUGUAGACAUAGGGCUUUGCCAUGUUGCCCAGGCUGGUCUUGAACCCCUGGAGCUUAAGCAAUCUGCCUGUCUCAGCCCUCUAAAAUGCUAGGAUUACAGGCAUUACCCACCAUCCCCAGCUGUGAAUCCUUAUCCUUAUUUGCUUUUCAGUUAUUUUUCAUUAUGAUAAAAUAUACAUAACAUAAAACUUGCCAUUGAAAUCCGUUUUUAAGUGUAUAUAGUUCAUUAAGUAUGUUCAUAGUGUUGUGCAACCAUUAUUCCUAUCUAUUUAUAGAACUUUAUCAUCAUGUCAAACUCAAACUCUAUACAUUAAACAGUAACUUUCCAUUUUCCCCUUCCCCCAACCCCUGGGUAAAUGCUGUUCUGUCUCACUCUGUGAAUUUGACUAUUCCAGGUACCUCAUGUAAAUAGAGUCAUAAAGCACUGGAUUUUGUAUUUGUAUUGUUGUGUGUGACUUUUUUCACUUAGCAUAAUGUCUUCAAUAUUUAUUCAUGUUAUAUAGCAUGUAUGGAAUUUCAUUCCUUUUUAAGGCUGAGUACUAUUACAUUGUAUGUAUGCCACAUUUUGUUAAUUCAUUCAUCUAUUCAUGGACCCUUGGAUUGCUUCUACCUUUUGACUUUUCGUGACUAGUGCUGCCACGAACCUGGUAUACAAAUACCUGUUUGAGUGCCUGCUUUUACUUCUUUUGAAUAUAGACCCAGAAGUGGAAUUGCUCAGUAAUAUCGUAAUUCUAUCUUUCACUUUUUGAGGAAUCAUCAUACCAUUUUCCAUGUCAGCUGCACAGUUUUACAUUUCCACCAGUAAUGCACAAGGAUGCCAAUGAAUUCACAUACUUGCUAACCCUUGUUAUUUUCUUUCUUUUUUUAAUAACCAUCCUAAAGGGCUAGAAGUGUAUUCUUACUUGUUUUUACUUCUGCAUAAAAUUACCCUGUCUUCACUGGGUAUACUAUUUCUUCUUUGGAAAAUCUUGCUCAAUGUAAAAGACAGAUUACUUAGAUAAGGUAUCGAGAAAAAACUCUUAUUGCAUUUGUUGCAUUAAGGGAGAAUUAUCUCUAACAAUAGAAUUGCUAAAUAAGUUCAUUCAUUCAUUCAAAAAAUGUGUAUUGAAUGCCCGCUUACACUAUGUCGGGCAGUGUUCUAAGCUUUGAGUAUACAGUGAUAAAUGAGAUAAUCAUGGCCCCUGCUUUGAGGGAGCUUGCGUUGUAGUGAGAGAGACAUAUGAUAAAUUAACGAAUACAAAAUUAAAAUAUCACUUUCAUGAUAUUUAUCUGACAUUGUGCUUUCAAAGAUAAUGUAUACAAUAUUCAGUGAAAAUACUAAUAUUAAAUAAAAUACAUAUUGCAAGAUUGUAUGUAUUCCAGCUAUAACCUCAUUUUUAAAAUGCUUGUGAAAGGAAACAAUGUCAUGAAAAUACUAACAGUGGUUCUAGGAUGAUCCAAUUCAUUGAUUUCUUUUUUUUCCUUAACUAAAAUUUCUUCAAGUAUGCAUAUAUUGUUACCUUAGAAACUACAAAUAAUUCCAUAAACAAUAAAUUAAUAAACACUAAUUUUGGGAUGAUGUUUAAUUUGACUUUCCUGUUUCCAGUUGUGACCAAAAGUGCUAAGUAUUAUUGAACAUUUUUUCUACCUUAAUUAUGCCAAGUAAAUGCAAGGCUUAUUGUAAUUCAUGCCAGGUAAAUCCAAGGUUUAUUGUGAUUGAAUGUUAAUUUUAGCUCUAGGAAGAUAGUUCUUAUUUUUGGUCAGUUUGCAAUACUAUUAGGAUAUUAUGGACAAAAUAGAAAGUAUGAUUUUUAAAAUUGCGCAGUAUUUAUUAAUGGAAAAUUGCCAUUUUUAUCAAAAAUAAAAAUAGUGGAAAAUUCACUGUAGUUCUUUCACUAUAGUUCUUUCUGACUAAAAACUGUGUAAUAUAUGAGUAGAUAAAAUAUGUAUUAGUCUGUUUUCACACUGCUAUAAAAAAUACCUGAGAUUGGAUAAUUCAUAAAAGAAAGAGGUUUAAUUGACUCACAGUUCCACAUGGCUGGGGAGGCCUCAGGAAACUUAAAAUGGUGGUGGAAGGUGAAGGGGAGGCAAGGCAUGUCUUACAUGGUGGCAGGAGAGAGAGCGCAGAGGUGACUGCCACUUUUAACUAUCAGACCUUGGGAGAACUCACUAUCACGAGAACAGCAUUGGGGGAAACUGCCCUUGUGAUGCAAUUACCUCCCUCCCUCAACUUGGCAAUUACAGGCAAUCCCCAACUUGGCAAUUACAGGUCCCUUCCUCAACACCUGGGGAUUAUAAUUUGAGAUGAGAUUUGGGUGGGGAUGCAAAGCCAAAGCAUAUUAAAAUAGUACUGAAUUUUGAAUAACUUAUUAUGAAUUCAUGUUACAGUCUGAUUUGAAGAGUACCUGUUUAGCAUAACAAUAUAGUACAUUGCCUAGUAAUAGAAUAAUGCUUUAAGAAGAAGCUCUGGAGAGGGGAAGGGUGCUUCUUU